rnacentral:rRNA from 1 species
AUUGAACGCUAGCGGGAUGCCUUACACAUGCAAGUCGAACGGAGUGGCGAACGGGGGAGUAAUGUAUCGGAACGUGCCCUGUAGCGGGGGAUAACUACGCGCAAGCGUAGCUAAUCACGCAACAUAUUGGAGCGGCCGAUAUCGGUUGAGGUAGUUGGUGGGGUAACGGCUCACCAAGGCGAGGAUCCGUAGCUGGUUUGAGAGGCCGACCAGCCACACUGGGACUGAGACACGGCCCAGACUCCUACGGGAGGCAGAAGUGGGGAAUAUUGGACAAUGGGGGAAACCCUGAUCCAGCCAUGCCGCGUGUGCGAUGAAGGCCUUCGGGUUGUAAAGCACUUUUGGCAGGAAAGCGGUACCUGCAGAAUAAGCACCGGCUAACUACGUGCCAGCAGCCGCGGUAAUAC